CCCCGUCCUUGAAGCGGG
rnacentral:misc_RNA from 1 species